rnacentral:rRNA from 1 species
AUUGAACGCUGGCGGCAUGCUUUACACAUGCAAGUCGAACGGUAACAGGGAGCUUGCUCCGCUGACGAGUGGCGAACGGGUGAGUAAUGCAUCGGAACGUGCCUAUUUGUGGGGGAUAACGUAGCGAAAGUUACGCUAAUACCGCAUACGCCCUGAGGGGGAAAGCGGGGGAUUCGUAAGAACCUCGCGCAAUUAGAGCGGCCGAUGUCGGAUUAGCUAGUUGGUGGGGUAAAGGCUCACCAAGGCGACGAUCCGUAGCGGGUCUGAGAGGAUGAUCCGCCACACUGGGACUGAGACACGGCCCAGACUCCUACGGGAGGCAGCAGUGGGGAAUUUUGGACAAUGGGCGAAAGCCUGAUCCAGCCAUGCCGCGUGAGUGAAGAAGGCCU